rnacentral:rRNA from 1 species
CCUGGGGAGUACGACCGCAAGGGUUGAAACUCAAAAGGAAAUUGACGGGGACCCGCACAAGCGGUGGAGCAUGUGGUUUAAUUCGAAGCAACGCGAAGAACCUUUACCAAAUCUUGACAUCCUCUGACCCCUCUAGAGAUAGAGUUUUCCCCUUCGGGGGACAGAGUGACAGGUGGUGCAUGGUUGUCGUCAGCUCGUGUCGUGAGAUGUUGGGUUAAGUCCCGCAACGAGCGCAACCCUUAAGCUUAGUUGCCAUCAUUAAGUUGGGCACUCUAAGUUGACUGCCGGUGACAAACCGGAGGAAGGUGGGGAUGACGUCAAAUCAUCAUGCCCCUUAUGAUUUGGGCUACACACGUGCUACAAUGGACAAUACAAAGGGUAGCGAAACCGCGAGGUCAAGCAAAUCCCAUAAAGUUGUUCUCAGUUCGGAUUGUAGUCUGCAACUCGACUAUAUGAAGCUGGAAUCGCUAGUAAUCGUAGAUCAGCAUGCUACGGUGAAUACGUUCCCGGGUCUUGUACACACCGCCCGUCACACCACGAGAGUUUGUAACACCCGAAGCCGGUGGAGUAACCAUUUGGAGCUAGCC